AGAAUCAACGCUGGCGGCGUGCCUAACACAUGCAAGUCGAACGAGAAAGUGGAGCAAUCCAUGAGUAAAGUGGCGCACGGGUGAGUAACACGUGACUAACCUACCCUUGAGUGGGGGAUAACCUAGAGAAAUCUGGGCUAAUACCGCAUAAUACCUUCGGGUCAAAGGAGCAAUUCGCUUUAGGAGGGGGUCGCGGCCGAUUAGUUAGUUGGCGGGGUAAUGGCCCACCAAGACUGUGAUCGGUAUCCGGCCUGAGAGGGCGCACGGACACACUGGAACUGAAACACGGUCCAGACUCCUACGGGAGGCAGCAGUGGGGAAUUUUGCGCAAUGGGGGAAACCCUGACGCAGCAACGCCGCGUGGAGGAUGAAGCCCCUUGGGGCGUAAACUCCUUUCGAUCGGGAAGAUAAUGACGGUACCGAGAGAAGAAGCCCCGGCUAACUUCGCGCCAGCAGCCGC
rnacentral:rRNA from 1 species